rnacentral:rRNA from 1 species
AGCGAACGUUAGCGGCAGGCCUAACACAUGCAAGUCGCACGAGGAAUCCGGGCUUCGGUCGGUAGUAAAGUGGCGGACGGGUGAGUAACACGUGGAUAAUCUGCCCCUCGGCGGGGGACAACAGUCCGAAAGGAUUGCUAAUACCGCAUACGUCAGCGAGGUCUUCGGACCUUGUUGGGAAAGAUGGCCUCUUCAUGAAAGCUAUCACCGAAGGAUGAGUCCGCGGCCCAUCAGCUAGUUGGCGGGGUAAUGGCCCACCAAGGCUUAGACGGGUAGCUGGUCUGAGAGGAUGAUCAGCCACACUGGAACUGAGACACGGUCCAGACUCCUACGGGAGGCAGCAGUGGGGAAUAUUGGGCAAUGGGCGCAAGCCUGACCCAGCCAUGCCGCGUGAGUGAUGAAGGCCU